rnacentral:rRNA from 1 species
GAUGAACGCUGGCGGCGUGCCUUAUACAUGCAAGUCGAGCGAACAGACGAGGAGCUUGCUCCUCUGACGCUAGCGGCGGAUGGGUGAGUAACUCGUGGAUAACCUACCUAUCAGACUGGGAUAACUUCGUGAUACCGGAGCUAAUCCCGGAUAAUAUCUUGACCUGCUUGGCUCAAUACUGAAAGACGGUUUUGCUGACUCUUUUAGAUGGCUCCGCACCGCAUUAGCUAGCUGGUAAGGUAACUGCUUACUUAGGCAACGAUGCGUAGCCGACCUGAGAGGGUGAACGGCCACACUGGAACUGAGACACGUACCAGACACCUACGGAAGGCAGCAGUAGGGAAUCUUCCGCAAUGGGCGAAAGCCUGACGGAGCAACGCCGCGUGAGUGAUGAAGGUCUUCGGAUCGGAAAACUCUGUUAUUAGGGAAGAACAAAUAUGUAAGGAACUAUGCACGUCUGGACGGUACCUAAUCAGAAAGCCACGGCUAACUACGUA